GCCUGGAUGCCUCGUUGGGCGAUACGCCAUAUUGGCGCGGCAAUUGUGAAAUAGAAGAGUGAUAUCUCUUAGUGAACCGACUAUUUUCGAAACUGCAACAACAUGAGGAAUGUUAAAACUAGAAAACAGGGAACCACAUUUCACAGCCCUACGAUGGAAGACGUUGACCAUUCAGGAGAAGGUAAAACUUCUGGAUGUGCUUCGGGAAGGAAAGCGUUAUGCGGACGGCGUUCGCCAUUAUGGCUUGAAUGAAUCAACAGUAUGCUACAUGAAGAAGGAUGAAAAGAAUGUAAAAACAAUACACCGCCUCACAGGCCAGAGCCACAGCCUUCUCCUCUCUGCUGGGUGGAAGAACAACUCUCACACAGUGGAAGUCCUCCAGACCCCCUGCCUUCAGACAAUAGGUU